UACGAAGGGGGGCUAGCGUUGCUCGGAAUCACUGGGCGUAAAGCGCACGUAGGCGGAUUGUUAAGUCAGGGGUGAAAUCCUGGAGCUCAACUCCAGAACUGCCUUUGAUACUGGCGAUCUUGAGUCCGGGAGAGGUGAGUGGAACUGCGAGUGUAGAGGUGAAAUUCGUAGAUAUUCGGCAAGAACACCAGUGGCGAAGGCGGCUUCUGGCCCGUUCGUUGACGC
rnacentral:rRNA from 1 species